CAUGUAGGCGGCUUGCCAAGUCUGAUGUGAAAGCCCGGGGCUCAACCCCGGAAGUGCAUUGGAAACUGGCAAACUUGAGUACGGGAGAGGAAAGUGGAAUUUCGAGUGUAGGGGUGAAAUCCGUAGAUAUUCGAAGGAACACCAGUGGCGAAGGCGGCUUUCUGGACCGAUACUGACGCUGAGAUGCGAAAGCGUGGGGGGCAAACAGGAUUAGAUACCCUGGUAGUCC
rnacentral:rRNA from 1 species